rnacentral:rRNA from 1 species
UGAGGAAUCUUCCACAAUGGGCGAAAGCCUGAUGGAGCAAUGCCGCGUGCAGGAUGAAGGCCCUCGGGUCGUAAACUGCUUUUAUUAGUGAUGAUUAUGACGGUAACUAAUGAAUAAGGGUCUGCUAACUACGUGCCAGCAGCCGCGGUCAUACGUGGGACCCAAGCGUUAUCCGGAUUGACUGGGCGUAAAGCGUUGCGUAGGCGGUAAUUUAAGCGAAUAGUGAAAGCGUGAGGCUCAACCUCAUACACAUUAUUCGAACUGAAUCACUAGAGAACAGUAGAGGUACCUGGAAUUUCUGGAGUAGGGGUAAUAUCCGUAGAUACUAGAAGGAACACCGAUGGCGUAGGCAGGGUACUGGGCUGUUUCUGACGCUGAGGCACGAAAGCGUGGGGAGCGAACGGGAUUAGAUACCCCCGUAGUCC